CGACGGUGGAAGCGGCUAGGUUCACGUUAUCGAGGUGCAAUCCAGUUUGAACUCGUCACGCCACACACUCGAUUUAAAGUUCCUAUAAUAUUUAAGCUAAAAUUAAAAACAGUACAAAAACUAAACUAAACUAAACUCAACUAAACUAAACUAAACUAGAACCUACAUCAGCUAAAUCUUAAAAAGAAUAUUACAAAUAUCGCUAUAAAAAUGGUAAGACUCGAAUACAGCGUGAAUUGAUUGGGAAUCGCAACGGAGGAAAAGAAAGCUAUUCACUUGAUGCUCUGAUGCGCGACCCAAACGAAACAGAUCCAUUUGCACUAGGAUUCAUUCAAACUAGUGCACACAAUGUUGUGAUGGGGUGAAUGCAUCACCUAUUUUAAUUGCAAUCCAAUAAUGCUAACGACGGCUCUCCAAUGUCCAGCUCUGAUGUUGAAAAUUUUAAUGGCAAAAUAGUUUACAAUCUUGACGGCAGUGCGUUAAUUAUCGAUGCAGGCAAUGCGACUGUUCCCAGCAUAAAUCGCAGCUCAAGCGCUGGACAUACUGGACAUACGACAGCUGCGUCUGCAACACAACAACAGCAACAACAACAACAACAAUCCACAUCUCGUGGCAGAGUAACAGAAAAGUUCGAGGAUAGAGCACACAGUGAGGGAGGAGGCGACGGUUCGGGUUCGGGUUCGGUUUCGGGUUCGAUUUUGGGUGGUUGCCAGCAGCUGAGCCCAAAGAUCCAUUCGUUUCGUGUGGUGUCGGCCCAAGAUGCAAGCACCCAUUGCCAGGACCCAAGGAAUGCGAUUCAAAGUCACAAGCACAAGCCAAUAUUGAUGUGCUUUAUAUGCAAACUGUCCUUUGGCACGGUCAACUCAUUUAGCUUGCAUGCGAACUCGGAACAUCGGCUCAAUCUGUUGGAGCUGGAGCAACAGCUAUUAAAUCGCGAAUAUUCCAGUGCUAUCAUUCAGCGUAAUAUGGAUGAGAAGCCGCAGAUAUCGUUUCUCCAGCCACUGGAUGUCAAUGCCGUUGAGCCAGUGGAUCUAGCUAGCAUCGAUACCAAUCAAACCAUUGCCGCCCUCAAUCAACUAUCUGCCGUGGACGCCAGCAUAGAAGAUCGCCUCAGCGAGUGCGAUGGGGAUGGAGCUGCAGCUGGAGCUGGUGCCGAGGCAGAGGCAGAGGCAGAGGCAAAGGCCGAUGGCGCGGCCGAGGCCGAGAUAGCAACAAAAUCAACUGUGAAAUUUGGUUCCUUAAAUUCAGCAACAAUAAAGACUAAUAACAAUCCCACUUUGUCGACGACAUCAUCAUCAUUAAUAUCAUGCAACUCACCCGCAUCGGCGUCCACGCCAAUUCAAUCGCCGGCUCCGAAAGAUGCAGAAGUUGUCGAAAGUCGGGACGAGGUGGGACGAUCGCCUCCGGCAGAUAGUAUGAAGGCUAGUACUGAUAAUAUAGGUAGCGAUAAGUCAAAUAAACGUAGCCAAAGGUCAGAAGUGACGGGGAACGUUACCACAAGUCCAAUUGUGUCUGGCUCGGACUCAACCCCACCACCUCAGCAGCCGCAUCCGAAUCCGCAUCCGCAUCCGAAUCCGAAUCAAAUGGACACGGAUGCCACAUUAACAGCAGCCGAUAUAUUGCAACAGCACCUCCUGUCGCUCCAGCAACAGCAACAGCAACAAGUGACUGGCUCUGCCGGCGUCUUCCCACCGAUGCAGGCCCAACUAAGUUCCUUUCACGCAUCCCUCGCCGCCCUGGCCAACGAACAGAACGCGAGGGGUGUCAAACUCCUCACCGAGUUUCUACAGCAGCAGCUACACCAACAGCAACAGCAGCAGCAGCAGCAAAAACAGCUUUUGUUUCCGGCCAGCUGCUUGGAACAUCCAGAUUUUAAGGGUGUCGACUGCAAAACCUGUGAAUUGAUUGAUAUUCAACACCGAACCAGGUCGCCGGCCACUCCGCAAUCUCUGUCCCAAUCCCAAUCCCAGUCGCAGCCACCACGCUCUCCGAAUGGCAGCAGCAGCGGCGGUCUGUCCACAUCUAUGCCCAUCUCGCCCAGCGCCUCCUCAUCCGUUGGCAACGUUGGCAAUGCGACUGCCGCCUCAAGCUUCACAAUUGGCGCCUGCUCCGACCACAUCAAUGGGCGACCUCAAGGCGUCGAUUGUGCUCGUUGCGAAAUGCUGUUGAGCUCGGCGCGUCUCAACAGCGGCGUCCAGAUGUCCACGAGGAACUCCUGCAAGACCCUCAAGUGUCCGCAGUGCAAUUGGCAUUACAAAUAUCAGGAGACAUUGGAAAUCCACAUGCGUGAAAAACAUCCAGACGGCGAGAGUGCCUGUGGAUACUGUUUGGCAGGCCAACAGCAUCCACGACUGGCACGCGGAGAAUCCUACUCGUGCGGUUACAAGCCGUACCGCUGCGAGAUUUGCAAUUAUUCGACAACCACAAAAGGCAACCUAUCCAUACAUAUGCAGUCCGACAAGCACUUGAACAACAUGCAGGAGCUGAACAGCUCCCAGAACAUGGUCGCUGUCGCGGCGGCGGCAGCAGCGAGCGCUAAACUGCUGCUGCCCAGCCCGUCCCCGCAAGGAGCCGGGUCCGGCCCGGGUCCAGUCACAAGCGUCGGGAUGGGAUCGGGAGUGGGAGUGGGAGUUCCGCAGCAAGCGACCUCGAGCCCGUCGUGCAGCUCCGGUGUCGGUGGUGUCAUCGUCAGCAGCGCAGCCAAUUCGGGUAUGGGUUCGUCGACGGUGUCAUCGGCGUCGAUCAAACCAAAGCCAUCGUUCCGUUGCGAUAUCUGCAGCUACGAGACAUCCGUGGCCCGCAAUCUGCGCAUACACAUGACCAGCGAGAAGCAUACACACAAUAUGGCCGUGCUCCAGAACAACAUCAAGCACAUACAGGCAUUCAACUUCUUGCAGCAGCAGCAGCAAGGAUCACCCGGAGUCGGGGCCAGUGGCACCAGUGGCUUUAUACCCGUGCCCGUGCCGGAGGUGGCGUUGGCCGAUCUGGCCUACAACCAGGCGCUCAUGAUUCAGCUGCUGCAGCAAAACGCCCAACAGCAACAGCUGCAGCAGCUGAAUCCGACCUCCUCGGUCAAUAGCAAAAUGAUGUCGCCCACGUCGAGCUCCCCGGUUAGCACGCCGGAUCAGAUGCAUGCGUCGUCGUUUGCGUCGUACUCACCGAAACCCCUGAAGAUGCCGCAAGGCCUCAACCUCGCCAUGGGCAUGGCCAUGGAGACGUGCUCGACAUCCGGCGGGGGGGAGACAACGCUGGAUGCAUCAUCAUUAUAUCCGGACAGCCUGCCGGAAUUGUGGCCGACAGCGCUGUACAGUUGCCUGAUUUGCGACUGCUUUAGCACCAAUGACAUGGACGAGCUGAAUCAGCAUCUGCUGCUGGAUCGCUCGCGUCAAUCCUCGAGCGCCUCGGCGGACAUUAUGGUCAUACACAACAAUAACUAUAUAUGCCGACUGUGCAACUACAAGACGAACCUAAAGGCCAACUUUCAGCUGCACAGCAAGACGGACAAGCACUUGCAGAAGCUCAAUUUCAUCAAUCACAUCCGUGAGGGCGGAGCCCGCAACGAGUACAAGCUGCAGUAUCAGCCACAGCUGGCCACAAAUGUCGUCCAGCUGAGAUGCAACUGCUGCGACUUUCACACCAAUUCCAUACAGAAGCUAUCGCUGCACACGCAGCAGAUGCGACACGACACAAUGCGCAUGAUCUUUCAGCAUUUGCUCAUCAUAAUACAGAAGAGCCGUAUGCGCAAGAGCUCCCUCAUCCACUCGGACCGGGAACGGGAACGGGAGCGCGAGUCGCCCAUGAUGCAUGACGGGGAUCAGGAGCAGCAGCAGCCGAAGAAAGCGCUCUGCUGUCAUCUAUGCAACUUUGUGGCCAAAAAUCUGCACGAUAUGGUGCAGCAUGUGAAGGGACUAAGGCACAUGCAGGUCGAACAGUUCAUUUGCCUGCAGCGCCGCAGCGAAAACAUCGAGAUGCUCGGCCUCAAUGAGGUAUUCAAGGUGAUCGACCAACUGCCAACGGCCACCACCAGCACUGAAGAUCCAAGCCUUGACUGUGGACUUAACCUGGCAACGACAGCUGCCGUUGGAGCUGGCACGGAAGUCGGAUACGGUGUGGCAAGUGCAUCAUCAACAGAUGGCAAUAUAUUUUCGCCCGCCUCUGUCUCCAGCUGCUCGACAUCGUGCGGCAAAGCACAGCCACCAGUGGCAUCUCCAUUGCCAAUAGCUGCUGCUGACCUGCAGUCAAGCGCGUCCACCACCGUUUUUAAGUGCAACCUGUGCGAAUAUUUUGUGCAAUCUAAAAAGGACAUAGAAGGUCACAUCGAGACCCUGCACCCGACUGCGGAGAGCGAUGACUAUAUCAGCAUACCAACAAACACGGCGGCUCUGCAAGCUUUCCAGACGGCCGUUGCAGCCGCUGCUCUGGCUGCUGUCCAUCGCUGCAAUGCCAGUGGCACGCCCACAUCGACAACCGCUGGGGCGGAGGCAGAGGGACGUGCCGGUGGCGACAGCGAUUGUCCCAUUGAUAUUAAGCGCGAGCGGCUGGAAGAAAGCGAUGAUCCAAUGACGAACAGUGCCGCCGAUGUUAGGGAUAACAAUAACGCCGACCUUGAUCUGGAGAGCAAUCGGAACAAGAGCAGGCUGUCGCCAAAAACUGAAACUGAAACUAUGCCCCAGUCGGGUGUAUCGUGCCCCCUCUGUCUGGAGAGCGGAUAUAGUGAGAAAUCUUCCCUGGAAGCUCAUCUGAUGAGCGUGCACAAUGUUACGCGAGAUGGCCUCGCUAGGCUCCUGCAGCUGGUUAACCACAAGGCCUGGCGACCCUUAAAAACCCCGGAACCGGCAACAACUUCGGAAAGGGUGCUGCAGGAGAGCAAGUGUAAUAUUGUCAAUGCCGAAGAUUAUGCAUCCACAUCCACAUCCACACCCACCACCACCACAUCAUCAUCAUCAUCAACAACAGCAACAACAACAUCGAGCUGUUCCGCCGGGGCUAUGCAGGGCAUCUCAUGCCAACAGUGCGACGCCAACUUUAAGCACGAGGAGCAGCUGCUGCAACAUGCCCAACAAACGCAACAUUAUCCAGUGCAAAACGGCGAAUACCAUUGCCUGGCCGUUACACAUGUUAGCCGUCCCUGCUUUAUGACCUUUGCCAGCUUGCCGUCGAUGAUUGCCCACUUUAAGGACUCGCACAUGAGCCUCGUGAUCUCGGAGCGACACGUCUAUAAGUACCGCUGCAAGCAGUGCUCGCUGGCGUUCAAGACACAGGAAAAGCUGACCGCACACAUGCUCUAUCACAGUAUGCGGGACGCUACCAAAUGCUCCCUUUGCCAGCGCAACUUCCGCAGCACUCAGGCCCUUCACAAGCAUAUGGAACAGUCGCAUUCGGCCGAAUGUACGGCUGUUAUGGGCAGCAGUCCGCGGGACCUCUCGCCCAGCUUCAGUUCAAGCGAAAUGGUGGAAAAGCCAUCAACUGAGACAAAUGUUUUUGACUUUUCCACAGCGCGUACAAAUGAAUCGGUUGCCAAAACGACGAGCAAGUCUGUCAAGCAGUCGCCGCAGCGCUCUCGAUCGCCGUUUCAAUUCGAAACACAAUCGAAGGAUUUGCCGCAUCAGCUUUCCGAUCAGCUAUCGCCAAACGCGCUCGAUGAUCCCUCAACUGAACAGCAGCACCACUUUGCCGCGCUGACCGCAGCAUUGCUCAAACAGCAGCAGCAGCAGCAGCAGCAGCAGGAGGCAGAUAAUCAAAUGGCCAUGUCUCCGGGCGGAAUGCAUCAGCUUCAGGUGAAACCGCUUCAGCAGGGCCCCUUCGGCAGCAUCAGCGGGAAUCAGCAGUCAUUUCACGGACUUCAAAGUAUACAGAACUUGCAGCAAAUUCAACAACAGCUGACCGCCGCUGCGGCUGCAUCGGGAAUGCCAAUCAAUCCGGUGGACAUGCUCAAUCUGAUGCAGUUUCAUCAUUUGAUGUCACUCAAUUUUAUGAAUCUAGCACCUCCAUUAAUCUUUGGAGCCAACUCUUCCAGCGGAACAACCGCCGCAGCAGCAGCAGCGGCAGCAACCGGAGGGAUCCAGAACAAUGGCAUUGCCCCAGCCACAUCGAUGUCUGGCGGCGGCACCACCUCGGUUGCAUGUCUGUCGGAGCGGCAACAAAAAUGCUCCGGCAGUGCAAGCGACAAUAUGAUGCCACAGUCGAAUGUAACUAACAAUAGCCAGCAACAAUUGAGCAGCAAUCAGAAACGCGCACGCACCCGCAUUACAGACGAUCAGCUAAAGAUUUUGCGGGCCCAUUUCGACAUUAAUAACUCACCCAGCGAGGAGAGCAUCAUGGAAAUGUCACAGAAAGCAAAUCUACCAAUGAAGGUUGUCAAGCAUUGGUUCCGGAACACGUUGUUUAAAGAACGGCAGCGGAACAAAGACUCGCCAUACAACUUUAAUAAUCCGCCAUCAACUACGCUCAAUCUGGAGGAGUACGAACGCACUGGCCAAACCAAGGUGACUCCCCUGCCGGACCCUGUCGCUGUCCCUCUCCCUUUACCUUUACCUUUACCUGCAUUACCGCCAACAACAACAGCAGCAGCAACAGCAACAACUAACAAUCAGGCAGCUGCGACUGCGGAGGCGGCAUCGGCAUCGACAAACUUAAGCGGCAACAUAUCGGACUAUUUCAAGACGCAGGCUGACCACCUGAUGAGGGAUUCCAAGCCGGAGCCGGAGAAUUUGGGCGUCUUGAGCUUGCCAUUGGAGGUUCAGAUAAAGGCCGAGCCGCAGGAUGAUAAUUCGGCGAGUGACUAUUCGUUUCAUAAAAACCAACGCCAGCUACAACAGCAACAGGAGCAAGUAUUUGAGUUUCUUAAACAACAACAGCAGGCGUCAGAGACGUCAGAUCCGGUCCAACCAAACCCAAACGAGGACUUGAUGCAUGACACCGUCUCCUCGAUGCAGGCAACUGGAUCGUCUAUGCACCACUAUCAGAGCCAGCCACAGCAUCAACAGCACCAACAGCAGCAUCAUCAGACCAAUUGCUUUGAAACCAAGUCGGAAAGCGGCAGCUCUGAUGUUCUGUCGCGGCCGCCAACACCAAAUAGUGUUGCGGCCAACAAUCUGUAUAAUAGCAUGAACGAUUUACUAAGUCAGCAGCUGGAGAAUAUCGGCAGCAACAUGGGUCCGCCCAAGAAACUGCAAAUCGCGGGUAAAUCAUUCGAGAAGCUAUCAAGUGCCGGCUCCGUCUCCGUCUCCGCAUCAUUGCCUUCAGCAGCAGCGUCGUCAGCAUGUGCCCAGUUGGAGAGCAACUCUUCGAACUCGUCGAAUUCAUCGUCGUCAACGUCCGGCGGAAAGCGCGCGAAUCGGACACGCUUCACUGACUAUCAAAUUAAGGUGCUGCAAGAGUUUUUUGAGAACAAUUCGUAUCCAAAGGAUAGCGACCUGGAGUAUUUGAGCAAGCUGCUGCUGCUGUCGCCACGCGUGAUUGUUGUCUGGUUUCAGAAUGCACGGCAAAAGCAGCGCAAAAUCUACGAGAAUCAGCCAAACAAUUCGCUGUACGAAAGCGAAGAGACCAAAAAGCAGAACAUCAACUACGCGUGCAAGAAGUGCAACCUGGUCUUUCAGCGCUACUACGAGCUGAUACGCCAUCAGAAGAACCACUGCUUCAAGGAGGAGAACAACAAGAAGUCGGCUAAGGCACAAAUCGCUGCCGCCCAAAUAGCCCACAAUCUAAGCUCAGAGGAUUCAAAUUCCUCUAUGGACAUCCAUCAUGCCGCCGGCGGGGCAGCGGCGGGUUUGGGUGGUUUGGCGCCACAAAAUGUGGCAGCUGCCGUUGCUGUUGCCGCUGCUGCGGCAGCAGCCCAUUCCGGCAAUCAGCCGUUCGGGUCAUCGCCCUCGCCGCAGCAUCUGUUUAGCAAGGCCUCAUCCCUAACCGAUUUCAGUCCAUCGACGACGCCAACACCACCGCAGCGGGAGCGCAGCAAUAGUCUGGACCAGCAGAGAUUGCCGAAAUUUGAGUGUGACAAAUGCGAAAUGCAGUUCAAUCAAUUGGAACUAUUGCGUGAGCAUCAAUUGAUGCACCUAAUGAGCCCGGCACUCUUUCCCGCUAGCCACCAUCAGUCGUCCAAUCAGUCGGAAACUGCCUACGGUCCCUUUGGCACCAUAUUACAAGGCUUGCAGCAGGCGGCCCAACAGCAGCAGCAGCAGCAGCAGCAUCAGCAGCAGCAGCAAAAUCAACAGCCGCCUCCGGCAAAGAAAAGGAAAUGCUCCGAAAGCUCAUCCAAUGCAGAUGCGGAGGCAUCAUCAUCGAUGGGAGAAUUUGAGACUACACAAAAGAAAUACGAGUUCCUAUACCAAUACUUUAUGCAGCAUGAAACCAAUCCAGAGCUGAAGCAGCAGCAAUUCCUAAUUCAACAGCAGCAGCAGCAGCAGCAGGGAAACAACGAAUCGGACCUGGAGCUGGAAUUCUUGAGCAAUUUCUAUCAACAGAGCGAACUGAAGAAGGUCAGCAGCUAUGAUUUUUUACUACAAUACUAUCGUAAAAAUGACGAGGACUCCUCGAAGCACCAGUCGUCAUUUAGCUCGAGCAAAAAGCCAACCAUUGAGUUCCUGCUGCAAUAUUAUCAGCUAAACGAGUCGAAAAAGUUUUUUCAGUUAGCUGCCUCGCCCCAAACAACACCUGAUGGCAUCGCAGCAGAAUCGCAGCCGUCGUCGCAUCCGCCGAACGCGACGGCGGAUGAAACAAUCAAAUUAAUCGGCGGCAGGCAGGAGGAGCGUACACAACAACAACAACAACAACAAGAGCAGAAGGUUAAGCUAGAGCACGAUUUGGAAUACUAUACCACCACCACCACCACCGGCUACGAAAAUAUCAAAGGAGAUCAUUCCAAAAACGGACUUAAACCGAAGAACAACGACCUUAGGGAUGAUCUACAUAAGAAACUGAAUAACAACCACAUCGAUAUGAAUGUGGGUCUAAACGAAGGGCAGCUUGCCUUUGACACAAAGGAAAACAAAAUCGAGCAACAAAUGGAAAACUUGCAAGUAGUGCCCAGUUCGUUCGGAUCCAUGGAUGAUGCAGUUGUUGUUAAUGGGGCGGCAAGGGAGAGAUCACCUUUCCGUGGCGGCAGCAGCAGCAGCGAAAUCAUACGAAAAGCCAGCGAUAACGAGAAACCUCAGUAUUUUCAAAAUCUGGAAGACUUUCUCGACGCAACUAUGAUUGAAAAUAAUUCCCAAAUGUUAACAUUCAAUGACGACGACGAUAAUCUAAGCCCAAAGGUCGAGAAUGUCGCCGCUGGCGCCGCCGCUGGCGCCGUCAAAGCAAACGAUUGCCUGCCCUUGGACUCGACGGUGCAGUUGAGCGCUCCUUCCAAGCAAAACAAGCGGCUGCGAACCACGAUACUUCCAGAUCAAUUGAACUUCCUGUACGAGUGCUACCAAACCGAGUCCAAUCCCAGCCGCAAAAUGCUCGAGGAGAUAUCCAAGAAAGUAAAUCUUAAAAAACGCGUCGUACAAGUUUGGUUUCAAAAUUCACGGGCCAAAGAUAAAAAGUCAAGGAAUCAGCGCCAAUACGCACACAUUUCGGAUGACAACAACAGCUUCGACGGAUCCAGCGGCAAGGAGGCUGGCAACAACAGCAACAGCAACAACAGCAAGACCCAAGAGGCACUGGCAGCUGCCACCUCUGCCGCGGAGGCCGAUCUGCAGGACUGUCAAUUAUGCCAGGUGCCGCAGGUGAACAUGCAGAAGCACGCAUUCAGUGUGGAGCACAUCUGCAAAAUGAAAGAGCUGCUCGAGCAGACCAGCGAGCUGUAUGCCCACAGCAAUGCCAGCGGCAGCGAUGACAACGAUUGCCGCGACGACCGCGAGAGGCGAUUCUAUAGCCUCUCCAAGGCGUUCCUCCUCCAGCAUAUGGUGUCCAAUGCCGGCAGCGGCAGCGGCAGCAUCAGCAUGGCGCCCUCAGCUGGCACUGAGCCUCGCCUGCUGGCAACGACGACGACGGCAACGGGGCCAACUGCUGGGUCUGAUGACUCCGGGAACAACGAUCCCAGUGCUGGUGCUCGUCGACACUUGGCCGGCGAUAUUGCUGUCUCUGUCAACAACGAUAGCGACGAGUUGCCGGAGCCGGGCAGAAAGAGCGCAUCCUCCGGCGGCGGCGGCGGCAGUCGGGAGCUAAUGCAACAGCUAUUCAAUCGCAAUCACAUCACGGGUAAGAAUUGCGAACUCCUCCGUCUAGUAUUUUGAUAUGAUGAAUGUGUGUAAACGUUUGGAUCAGCAGCCCGGCGGCGUUAUAGGUGGCAAAUAAUUUGGAGUCCUUUAAAACUGGGCGACUCUCGGCCGACGACGGAUUUUAUCCUAAUUGCAUUGACUUCCCUAUUAUCACUUGACGUAACCAUGCCAUGGAAUCGAAGGGCCACAACAUCGAGGACAAGGAGAAAAAUGCACACAUAAAAAAUAACAAUGCAAAAGAAUAACAAGAAAGUUUUAGAACAUAUGCGUAUACUUGCAUAAACAUAAUAAGAUAUAUUUACAUACAUACUAUGAAAACUUGAAAGUUCCUAUUUUAAAGAAAUUUAAUGCAUGACAUUUCAUGUGGCUAAAUAUAUACAUAAACUAUGUAUAAGUAAAUUAACAGAAACAAGAUUAAUAAUUUAAUAAGAAUUACAAAC